rnacentral:rRNA from 1 species
GAACGAGGGAGUACUCCGAAAGGGGUGCAAACCGAGUGGCGUAAGGGUGAGUAAUGCAUUGAUAACCUACCUUUGAGAUGGGAAUAACAACGUUCCAAGCAAUUGGAGCUACCGAAAGGGUUGCUAAUACUCAAUAAAACUAUUGUUGCUUUGGUAAUAAUAGUCAAAUAGGCGGAAUCGAAAGAUUCCACUUGCUUAAGGAGGGGUCAAUGUCCUAUCAGCUUGUUGGUAGGGUAAUGGCCUACCAAGGCGAAGACGGGUAGCCGGCCUGAGAGGGUGGUCGGCCACACUGGGACUGAGACACUGCCCAGACUCCUACGGGAGGCUGCAGUCGAGAAUCUUUCGCAAUGCCCGAAAGGGUGACGAAGCGACGCCGCGUGCGGGAAGAAGGCCUUCGGGUUGUAAACCGCUGUCGGGAGUUAAGAAAUGCAAGGGUGUUAACAGCGUCCUUGCUUGACUAAGGCUCCGGAGGAAGCCACGGCUAACUCUGUG